rnacentral:rRNA from 1 species
UACAUCCCUUCUAAAGGUUACACGAGCUGGGGAGUAAAGGGCUCGCAGGCGGUUUCUUAAGUCUGAUGUGAAAGCCCCCGGCUCAACCGGGGAGGGUCAUUGGAAACUGGGGAACUUGAGUGCAGAAGAGGAGAGUGGAAUUCCACGUGUAGCGGUGAAAUGCGUAGAGAUGUGGAGGAACACCAGUGGCGAAGGCGACUCUCUGGUCUGUAACUGACGCUGAGGAGCGAAAGCGUGGGGAGCGAACAGGAUUAGAUACCCUGGUAGUCCACGCCGUAAACGAUGAGUGCUAAGUGUUAGGGGGUUUCCGCCCCUUAGAGCUGCACCUAACGCAUUAAGAACUCCGCCUGGGGAGUGCGGUCGCAAGACUGAAACUCACGGGAAUUGACGGAUGCCCGUUUUAGCAUCGGAGCAUGCGGUUGAAUUCGAAGAACCCCGCCAACCUUACCAGGUCUUGACUUGAUGGGACCUUCCUAGAGAUAGGACUGCCCCUACGUGCCAAGAGCCGCAGGUGGUGCUCGGUUGUCGUCAACUCGUGUCGUGAGAUGUUGGGUUUGUGCCCGCACCGAGCAAUUCCCUUGAUCUUCGUUGCCGCCACUCAACUGGCCACGCGGAGUGGAUAACGGGUGACCUGCCGGACUAAA